GGGCUUGUACGAAAGGAUAAACGAAAGCUUAACUGUCUCAAAUCUAUUUAUAUAAAUUGACCUUUAGGUGAAAAGACCUAAAUUUUUUUAGAGGACAAAAAGACCCCGUAGAGCUCAGUGUUUUAAUAAAUAUCUAUAUUUUUAAUUUUCUAAAAAAACUAUAUUUUAAUAAAACACACUUGGCUGGGGCGGCUAUGGAACAAAAAACUUCCACAAAUCCAAUAAGAUCCACAAAUCUUCUUUAAUGAUCCUUUUAAGAUCAAAGAAUCUAGCUACCUCGGGGAUAACAGA
rnacentral:rRNA from 1 species